rnacentral:rRNA from 1 species
GACGAAAGUCUGACGGAGCAACGCCGCGUGAGUGAAGAAGGUUUUCGGAUCGUAAAGCUCUGUCUUUGAGGACGAAUGUGCUUAAUGUGAAUAAUGUUAAGUAAUGACGGUACUCGAGGAGGAAGCCACGGCUAACUACGUGCCAGCAGCCGCGGUAAUACGUAGGUGGCAAGCGUUGUCCGGAAUUAUUGGGCGUAAAGCGCGCGCAGGCGGGAUAUUAAGUCUGUUUUAAAAGUUCGGGGCUCAACCCCGUGAUGGAAUGGAAACUAAUAUUCUUGAGUGCAGGAGAGGAAAGUGGAAUUCCCAGUGUAGCGGUGAAAUGCGUAGAUAUUGGGAGGAACACCAGUGGCGAAGGCGACUUUCUGGACUGUGUCUGACGCUGAGGCGCGAAAGCCAGGGGAGUGAACGGGAUUAGAUACCCCGGUAAUCCUGGCCGUAAACGAUGGGUACUAGGUGUAGGAGGUAUCGACCCCCUUCUGUGCCGGAGUUAACGCAAUAAGUACCCCCGCCUGGGGAGUAC